AGAGUCGGAUAAAUGGUCGCUCCUUUUAACGCCGAAAGGCUUAAGGAGAGGAAAGUCCGGGCUUCACAGGGCAGGAUGCCGGAUAACGUCCGGUGGAGGCGACUCCAAGGAUAGUGCAACAGAGAUAUACCGCCGUCUCCCUGCGGGACGGUAAGGGUGGAAAGGCGGGGUAAGAGCCCACCGAUUCUCUGGUAACAGGGAAUGCCAUGUAAACCCCAUCCGAAGCAAGACCGAAUCGAAAGCGAUAAUCCGGCCCGGAUUGCUUUCAGGUGGGUCGCUAAAGUCUGCCGGCGACGGCAGAAUCAGACAGAUGACCAUUCACGACAUAACCCGGCUUAUCGUCCGGCUCUGAAC
rnacentral:RNase_P_RNA from 4 species